GAUGAACGCUGGCGGCGUGCCUAAUACAUGCAAGUCGAGCGAACAGACGAGGAGCUUGCUCCUCUGACGUUAGCGGCGGACGGGUGAGUAACACGUGGAUAACCUACCUAUAAGACUGGGAUAACUUCGGGAAACCGGAGCUAAUACCGGAUAAUAUAUUGAACCGCAUGGUUCAAUAGUGAAAGACGGUUUUGCUGUCACUUAUAGAUGGAUCCGCGCCGCAUUAGCUAGUUGGUAAGGUAACGGCUUACCAAGGCAACGAUGCGUAGCCGACCUGAGAGGGUGAUCGGCCAGCCUGGAACUGAGACACGUCCCAGACUCCUACGGUAGGCCGCAGUAGGGAAUCUUCCGCAAUGGGGGAAAGCCUGACGGAGCGACACCGCGUGAGGGAUGAAGGUCUUCGGAUCGUAAAACGCUGUUAUUAGGGGAGAACAAAUGUGUAAGUAACUGUGCACGUCUUGACGGUACCUAAUCAAAAAGCCACGGCUAACUACGUG
rnacentral:rRNA from 1 species